GGGACUAUAGCUCAGCUGGUUAGAGCGCACGCCUGAUAAGCGUGAGGUCGGUGGUUCGAGUCCACUUAGUCCCACCA
rnacentral:tRNA from 1 species